rnacentral:rRNA from 1 species
UGCCAGCCACCCCAGUACUACUAGGGGUGCGCGCGUUAAUCGGAAUUACUGGGCGUAAAGCGCACGUAGGCGGUUUGUUAAGUGGGAUGUGAAAGCCCCGGGCUCAACCUGGGAAUUGCAUUCCAAACUGACAGACUAGAGUGCAGUAGAGGGAGGUAGAAUUUCCUGUGUAGCGGUGAAAUGCGUAGAUAUAGGAAGGAAUACCAGUGGCGAAGGCGGCCUCCUGGACUGACACUGACGCUGAGGUGCGAAAGCGUGGGGAGCAAACAGGAUUAGAUA